CUCCAGAUUCUUCCCAACUCUGCAGUGAGCAUUUUCUGGUUUUGCUCUUAUUUUUCAGGAGAGCUGACCUGUGCUACAUGGUGACACACGGACAUUUGACAACAUUACRGAAGGUCUGUGCCUCAGCUGUUCCCAUCGACUUCUACAGGACGUUCUGUCUAUCGGAUCUUUGGACAUGUAAAAUUACUGUAACGACACUUGCAUAUUCCAGCUGAGGAUCUCAGUAAAUACAAGAUUGGUCAGUUAUAAACAAACUUCUUUGCUCAGAGAGAGGAAGAGAAUGCAAGGGAAGAUGAUGGUUAUUAAAGGUAAGAAGUAAUUUAAAUAAUUCAGUUUUCUGUUAAAAUGUUCGUAUGCAAAGCAAGAUUUCUUCAUAUGAGCAGUUUCCUGUUUGCUUAUUCAAAGAAAUGGUUUCACCAACAGUGAUAAUGACCCUCAGUACAG
rnacentral:lncRNA from 1 species